rnacentral:rRNA from 1 species
UACAGAGGUCCCGAGCGUUGUUCGGAUUCACUGGGCGUAAAGGGUGCGUAGGUGGUCGGGUAAGUCUGAGGUGAAAUCUCCGAGCCCAACUCGGAAACUGCCUUGGAUACUAUUCGGCUAGAGGGUUGGAGGGGGGAUUGGAAUUCUCGGUGUAGCAGUGAAAUGCGUAGAUAUCGAGAGGAACACCAGUGGCGAAGGCGAGUCCCUGGACAACUCCUGACACUGAGGCACGAAAGCUAGGGGAGCAAACAGG